UAUUCCGAUCUCCGUUGGUGACCAGCGGAGGGAUCAUUACCGAGUUUACAACUCCCAAACCCCUGUGAACAUACCUAUACGUUGCCUCGGCGGAUCAGCCCGCGCCCCGUAAAACGGGACGGCCCGCCCGAGGACCCCUAAACUCUGUUUUUAGUGGAACUUCUGAGUAAAACAAACAAAUAAAUCAAAACUUUCAACAACGGAUCUCUUGGUUCUGGCAUCGAUGAAGAACGCAGCAAAAUGCGAUAAGUAAUGUGAAUUGCAGAAUUCAGUGAAUCAUCGAAUCUUUGAACGCACAUUGCGCCCGCCAGUAUUCUGGCGGGCAUGCCUGUUCGAGCGUCAUUUCAACCCUCAAGCUCAGCUUGGUGUUGGGACUCGCGGUAACCCGCGUUCCCCAAAUCGAUUGGCGGUCACGUCGAGCUUCCAUAGCGUAGUAAUCAUACACCUCGUUACUGGUAAUCGUCGCGGCCACGCCGUUAAACCCCAACUUCUGAAUGUUGACCUCGGAUCAGGUAGGAAUACCCGCUGAACUUAAGCAUAUCAAUAAGCGGAGGAA
rnacentral:rRNA from 1 species